CGCCGCCGCGGGAAUACGAAGGGUGCAAGCGUUAAUCGGAAUUACUGGGCGUAAAGCGUGCGUAGGCGGUGAGUUAAGUCUGUUGUGAAAUCCCCGGGCUCAACCUGGGAAUGGCAAUGGAUACUGGCAAGCUAGAGUGUGUCAGAGGAUGGUGGAAUUCCCGGUGUAGCGGUGAAAUGCGUAGAGAUCGGGAGGAACAUCAGUGGCGAAGGCGGCCAUCUGGGACAACACUGACGCUGAGGCACGAAAGCGUGGGGAGCAAACAGGAUUAGAUACCCCUGUAGUCCCUGUCUCUUAUACA
rnacentral:rRNA from 1 species